rnacentral:sRNA from 1 species
CUGGCGAAUAGAGCAUGAUAUUUACGUAUUGAACUGCGACCUGGUGAAAUAUGGCUUCACCAAAAAGAACCGUGCUUGCGUUUGAUCUUUACGGCACGUUACUAUCUACAGAAUCCAUUGCAGAGAAAUUGGCUGAGUACUUUGGCCUUGAAAAGGGACAGAGCAUCACGGGUCUCUGGCGGCGGUAUCAGCUCGAAUACACUUGGAGGCUAAAUAGCAUGGGACUGUAUAAAUCAUUCUCAGAAGUGACGAGGAACUCAUCGCAACAUGCGCUGGCUGAGCAUCAGGUAGAUCUGGACCAAGAUUCCACACAAAGGCUUAUGGAGGGUUACGAUUGCCUAUCUGCCUUUCCAGACACCCCGUCUUGUCUUUCGAGGUUGGCACACAAUCCCAGCUUGAUGCCAGUAGUGUUUUCCAACGGAACAAUUUCCAUGAUCUCAAAUUCAGUCCUACGAUCCAGAGACUUAUCACCCUACGCCAGCAUAUUCCGCGAUAUCAUCUCCGUCGAUCCUGUCAAGAAAUUCAAACCGGCGCCAGAGACGUAUUGGCAUCUAGCCGAUACAGCUGGCAAGGACAGGUCGCAAAUGGACGAAAUGUGGCUUAUUAGCAGCAACCCGUUUGACGUAAUGGGGGCGGCUAAUGUAGGAAUGAAGACAGCAUGGGUUGAUCGGACAGGGUUGGGAUGGAUUGAAUCGAUGAGCAGAGAAGUAAGGCCAUUAGUGGUAGCCAGAGAUCUCAAUGAAGCUGUGCGGGC